rnacentral:rRNA from 1 species
AACGAACGCUGGAGGCAUGCCUAACACAUGCAAGUCGAACGAGAUCUUCGGAUCUAGUGGCGCACGGGUGCGUAACGCGUGGGAAUCUGCCCUUGGGUUCGGAAUAACAGUGAGAAAUUACUGCUAAUACCGGAUGAUGUCUUCGGACCAAAGAUUUAUCGCCCAAGGAUGAGCCCGCGUAGGAUUAGGUAGUUGGUGGGGUAAUGGCCUACCAAGCCGACGAUCCUUAGCUGGUCUGAGAGGAUGAUCAGCCACACUGGGACUGAGACACGGCCCAGACUCCUACGGGAGGCAGCAGUGGGGAAUAUUGGACAAUGGGCGAAAGCCUGAUCCAGCAAUGCCGCGUGAGUGAUGAAGGCCUUAGGGUUGUAAAGCUCUUUUACCAGGGAUGAUAAUGACAGUACCUGGAGAAUAAGCUCCGGCUAACUCCGUGCCAGCAGCCGCAGUAACAC